rnacentral:rRNA from 1 species
GCAGAUAAUGCGGAGGAAGGUGGGGAUGACGUCAAAUCAUCAUGCCCCUUACGUCCCGGGCUACACACGUGCUACAAUGGUCUGUACAGAGGGUAGCGAAAGAGCGAUCUUAAGCCAAUCCCAAAAAGCAGGCCCCAGUUCGGAUUGGAGGCUGCAACUCGCCUCCAUGAAGUAGGAAUCGCUAGUAAUCGCGGAUCAGCAUGCCGCGGUGAAUACGUUCCCGGGCCUUGUACACACCGCCCGUCACACCACGAAAGUUGGCGAUACCUGAAGUUACUAGGCUAACCCCGUAAGGGGAGGCAGGUACCGAAGGUAUGGCUGGCGAUUGGGGUGAAGUCGUAACAAGGUAGCCG